rnacentral:rRNA from 1 species
UACGUAGGCAGCGAGCGUUGUUCGGAGUUACUGGGCGUAAAGCGUGCGUAGGCGGUGUCUUAAGUUUGUUGUGAAAUCUCCCGGCUUAACCGGGAGGGUGCGGCGAAUACUGAGAUGCUGGAGUGCGGGAGAGGUAAGCGGAAUUCCUGGUGUAGCGGUGAAAUGCGUAGAUAUCAGGAGGAACACCUGCGGUGUAGACGGCUUACUGGACCGUAACUGGACGCUGAGGCACGAAAGCGUGGGGAGCAAACAGG